UGUAGGAAAGACAGGCUGUGGUGUCACUGACAGGGAGAGGGGAGGACAAUUGCGCGACCUCUCCAGAAUGUGUACAGCACAUCUCAGUCAUCUCAGUCAAAGCACUGACUAUCGUCUGAUGGGACACAAGGACUUCUCAAAAAAUGAUCCUAAAAAUGCUGUCAUGCGUGAUUACCUUGACUGUGGUGUUUCACACUUGUCUGAGUGAGCUGGACUUACUGCAUCCAUCUCAGCCCUGCACUGAAGCGAAGAACCGGAUGGCGUAUGACACUUUCCUUAAACAACAUCUACAUAAGGGCAUACCAAAAGAUCCACACAAACUAAGAGAAUGGCAGAAGUUCAUUGACAGCAUCAAAACCUGGGACAGGCCGAUUCAGUCAUUCUUUCGAUUUGAACAAGCAAGACAGGUGAUGGCUGUGUGUUCGUCAGGAGGAAAGGUGUAUGGAGGGAACCUCUGCAUCAGCAAGGAGCCUCUCAUGGUCUUCACUGUUGAGAUCAAUGAUAGGAAAGUCAAGAGAGUUGAGCCUCAUGAGCAACAUGUUAUUCUUGGCUGUGAUAAAAUUGAAAAUAAAUGUCUGCCUAUUCAUUUUGAGGCUAAUUUAAAUGAUGCUGUACCAGACAAUAAAAAACCAGACUGCAGUAAAGCAAUGCCAAAUACAAGCGUUAUUCCUUUUGAGGACCUGUUUUAUGUUUAGACACAUGACCUGCAAAAUUCAGACAUCUGGAUAUUACUUUGUAGCUUUGCUUCUUUUAUUUCUAUCUAACCAAUGUUGAAACUGCAGUAAUGUGAGGAUGUCUGCUGAUGUCCAUAAACAAUGCAUUCUGUAUGUAUACAAACACAUAUAUUGUUUUCUUAUGCUUUUUCCUCAUUAAUUCAAUCAUUUAUUGAAUAAAAAU